UACGUAGGGGGCUAGCGUUGUCCGGAUUUAUUGGGCGUAAAGAGCGUGUAGGCGGCCAGGUAGGUCUGGUGUGAAAACUCGAGGCUUAACCUCGAGAUGUCAUCGGAAACCAUCUGGCUAGAGUCCGGAAGAGGAAAGUGGAAUUCCUGGUGUAGCGGUGAAAUGCGCAGAUAUCAGGAAGAACACCAAUGGCGAAAGCAGCUUUCUGGGACGGUACUGACGCUGAGACGCGAAAGCGUGGGGAGCGAGCAGG
rnacentral:rRNA from 1 species